UACGAAGGGGGCUAGCGUUGUUCGGAAUUACUGGGCGUAAAGCGCACGUAGGCGGGUUGUUAAGUCAGGGGUGAAAUCCUGGAGCUCAACUCCAGAACUGCCUUUGAUACUGGCGACCUUGAGUUCGGGAGAGGUGAGUGGAACUGCGAGUGUAGAGGUGAAAUUCGUAGAUAUUCGCAAGAACACCAGUGGCGAAGGCGGCUCACUGGCCCGAUACUGACGCUGAGGUGCGAAAGCGUGGGGAGCAAACAGG
rnacentral:rRNA from 1 species